AAAACUUUCAACAACGGAUCUCUUGGUUCUGGCAUCGAUGAAGAACGCAGCGAAAUGCGAUAAGUAAUGUGAAUUGCAGAAUUCCGUGAAUCAUCGAAUCUUUGAACGCACAUUGCGCCCUUUGGUAUUCCGAAGGGCAUGCCUGUUCGAGCGUCAUUA
rnacentral:rRNA from 2 species